rnacentral:rRNA from 1 species
ACGAACGCUGGCGGCGUGCUUCACCCCUGCCAGUCGAACGGGAUUUAGUAAACGGAAGCCUCGGUGGAAGAUUACUAAUGAGAGUGGCGAACGGGUGAGUAACGCGUGAGCAACCUGCCUAUGACAGUGGGAUAGCCUCGGGAAACCGGGAUUAAUACCGCAUAAAAUCGUAGAAACACAUGUUUCAACGGUCAAAGAUUUAUCGGUCAUAGAUGGGCUCGCGUCUGAUUAGCUAGUUGGUGAGAUAACAGCCCACCAAGGCGACGAUCAGUAGCCGGUCUGAGAGGAUGAACGGCCACAUUGGAACUGAGACACGGUCCAAACUCCUACGGGAGGCAGCAGUGGGGAAUAUUGCACAAUGGGGGAAACCCUGAUGCAGCGACGCCGCGUGAACGAAGAAGGUAUUCGUAUCGUAAAGUUCUGUCCUAUGGGAAGAUAAUGACAGUACCAUAGAAGAAAGCUCCGGCUAAAUACGUG